ensembl:lncRNA
GGUUGAUGCGAUAUGUCACCCAGAUACCCUUCCAGGAAUGAAGGCUUUAUUUCUCCAAAUGCUAGUAGUUGCUGGUAGCCAACAGCUUUUAUCUGUCUGCCUUCUUUAGAAUUGCCUGGGCUGAAGAGAGCUGUCCCACCUCUGUCACAGCCCUUUCUUUUUUUUUUUUUUUUUUUUUUGUCUUUUUGCUAUUUCUUUGGGCCACUCCUGCAGCAUAUGGAGGUUCCCAGGAUAGGGGUCUAAUUGGAGCUGUAGCCACUGGCUUACGCCAGAGCCACACCAACGCGGGAUCCGAGCCGCGUCUGCAACCUACACCAUAGCUCACGGCAACACCAGAUCGUUAACCCACUGAGCAAAGGCAGGGACCGAACCCGCAACCUCAUGGUUCCGAGUCGGAUUCGUUAACCACUGCGCCACCAUGGGAGCUCCAUCACAGCCCUUUCUCAUAGCACCUUGUCUCCAGUGACUAGUCAAGAUCAAAAGCCAUCCCUUUCACUCCAACAAAGAGCAUCUCCGAAGGUCCUUCUCAGCUUCAGGGUUUACUGUGGGGAGGAAUGGUGGGGGCUAGUGUUUCGUGGAUACAGUUUCAUUUUGGGAUAAUGAAAAAUUCUGGAAAUGGAUAGUGAUUAUGACAGUUGCCCAAUAAUGUGAGUAUACCUAAGGUCACUAAACUGUACACCUGAAAAUGGCUGAAAUGAUUAAUUUUAUGUUUGUAUAGGUUACCACAAUAAGAAAUGAAUUCAUUAAGAAAAUACAGGGGUAGAAUCAGAUGUGCUCUCAGUUUCCCUUUCAUUCUGGAAGUCCAUAAUUAUAUGAAGUUACUUUUGAAGCCAAAUUUGGGUUGAUGUGAUUUCAGGGAAUAAAUUAUACAAUAGUUCUUAAUUUUGGCUAUGUACUAGAAUCACCUUGGGAACAUUUAAAAAAAUGAUGCCUCAGUACCCCUUAUGGACUUAUAUAUAAUUGUCUAGGGACCAGGCUUUGGUGUGUUUAAAAUCUCCUGUUGAUUCCAAUAUGCAAAACACAGUUGAGACUUACUGAGCUGGAAGAACCCCAGCCCACACCUUCCUCACCCACUUGCUAUUAUUACUCCUGAGGAUUUGGCCAGUUGCUUAUCUUUCUAGCCUGAUCUUUCCAACUCACUCCCUCCUACACAUACCCAAGCUUGCCUGAACCAAAUGACUUGUCAUCUUUCCUCUCCUGUCAAACCCUGUCUGACUUCUGUCCCUUUACUAAUGUUUACUCUAACAAGAUUCCCCUCAUCUGACUGAUGCCAGCCCCAGUUAGACCCCUUCUCAGCACCCCUCCCUAGGCUGUGCCAGUACCCUCCUCUAAACCCUGGAAGCUCUUCACAGAGGCGGGAAAUCCCACUCCCCAGUGCUGAUAUCUGGUCUUUCCUCUCUGAGUUCCCAGAUGUGAAGCCCGGAACUUCACAGUAGUUAUUAAUAGAUAUUAGUUGAAUAAUGAGAGAUAAUUAUCCCACAAUUGAAUAGCAUUUUUGAGGUAAAUACCAUGGGAAGAAUUAGUAUAUCAGUGUAAAUAAGGUAGUUUUCUUUUAACAUUGAUUGAGCCAUGUUUCUGGGAUUGUGCUAAUGCUUUACUAAGCAUUUCUUCUUGCAUCUCCAUGGCCACCCUAGGAGAGUAGGUACUAUCAUCAUCUCCAUGCUAUAAGUGAGGAACCAAUUUCAGACAGGUUAGGAACUCACCUUGGAUCCCAGCUAGUGUUCAUCAGAGCUGGAAGUUUCAGUUGGGAUACAAGUCAUUCUAGAUCCUUCCUGAUUUGGGGAAAGGGACAGAGCAAAAAAUAAAAAUAAAAAAGAAGGUAGGAAUUCACAUCGUGGCUCAGCGGAAACAACUCUGAUUAGUAUCCAUGAGGACACGGGUUUGAUCCCUGGCCUCUCUCAGUGGGUUAAGGAUCCGGCGUUGCUGUGAGCUGUGGUGUAGGUUGAAGAUGUGGCUGGGAUCUGGCAUUGUUGUGGCUGUGAUGUAGGCCAGCAGCUUCAGCUCCAAUUCAACCCCUAGCCCGGGAACCUUGAUAUACCACAGGUGUGACCCUAAAAAAACCAAAAAAAAAAAAAAAA